GUUUGCUGGAAGGGAUGGCAGCAGGCUGCGUACAGCACACUCCAAAUAAAAUGUCACCAUGGGCACAGAACGAGGAACUAACAGCGUCUAUUUAGGACGGACACAUCUGCAGCCUACAGAAGCCCAUAACUGUCCAGCAAGUUGAUUUAUCCGACCGACUAUUUAUUCAGCAAACUGGCUAGCUCUCUUCCAUCACAUGGCGCGCCCAGAACCUGACAACUGUUCAGCUUCAAGAAAACCUUACCUCCUUCACUCAGUCACUCCUUACUUCGUCACAAAGUUUAGAGAUGUGAUAACAGUACAGAAACGUGCAGGACCAAUGGAAUCUACUCAUGUACCAACCUCAAAUAACUUCCCAGAGUGUCUCACUUCACUAGUUUACAUACUCUGCAGAAAAGUUGGGAAAUCCAGUUUGUGCAGAAAUCCGGCAUGUUUAGCACGUUUCUGAUCCUAUCUUUAGUUCUAACAACUGUGCAACGUUACUAGACCUGUAAGCUUUCUUCAGAGUCUCAGUCACACCUUCUUGAUAUUGGUUGAUUCUCAGUCAGGUUACACGAUAGGACGACUGAGAUUUGACUCGGUACCUCUUGAGCGCCAAAGUCUUAAUGGUACAGAACUCUGUUUGGAUUUCUCACUUCUUUAUUAAAUUUAAUUCUAAUGUACGUUAAGUAAGUUUAUCUAUACAAAGAUUUAGCUUUACAAUUGCAUAAAUCUUUAUUUCUAUCUAGUACCAAAAAGUCUACGUCAGUAUAUUGUUUUUAAGAAUUAACGGAGAGAUGCAAUUAUUACUCUUGUUGGCAUUGCUUUUUUCAGGAGAGUGUUUAAAUUGUAGAUUAUUUGACGACGGAACGCGAUGUAUAGCGUUAUUAAUGAUAAAGGCACCAAGCACCUCUGAAACGUCUGUACACUUGUAUAGACUACACGGUGCAUGGACUCAGAAGACCGUCAUUUUCAUUCU